rnacentral:rRNA from 2 species
AACGAACGCUGGCGGCAGGCUUAACACAUGCAAGUCGAGCGCCCCGCAAGGGGAGCGGCAGACGGGUGAGUAACGCGUGGGAAUCUACCCAUCUCUACGGAAUAACGCAUGGAAACGUGUGCUAAUACCGUAUACGUCCUUCGGGAGAGAGAUUUAUCGGAGAUGGAUGAGCCCGCGUUGGAUUAGCUAGUUGGUGGGGUAAAGGCCUACCAAGGCGACGAUCCAUAGCUGGUCUGAGAGGAUGAUCAGCCACACUGGGACUGAGACACGGCCCAGACUCCUACGGGAGGCAGCAGUGGGGGAUAUUGGACAAUGGGCGCAAGCCUGAUCCAGCCAUGCCGCGUGAGUGAUGAAGGCCCUAGGGUUGUAAAGCUCUUUCACCGGUGAAGAUAAUGACGGUAACCGGAGAAGAAGCCCCGGCUAACUUCGUGCCAGCAGCCGCGGUAA